rnacentral:rRNA from 1 species
GUUAAAACGCUCGUAGUUGGAUAUUUGUUGGGGAAUACUGGUCCACCCGUAGUGGUUCGGCACUCGGUAUAUCUCCGACAUCUCUUUGGUUAACUGCGUUCACUUCAUUGUGCGCGUAGAUGAGCCAAAACUUUUACUUUGAGGAAAUGAGAGUGUUUCAAGCAGGCCUAGCCAUGAAUACGUUAGCAUGGAAUAAUAGCAUAGGACCUUGUGUCGUAUCUGUUGGUUGACGACACAUGGUAAUAAAAAUAGGGAUAGUUGGGGGCAUUCGUAUUGCAUAGUCAGAGGUGAAAUUUUUAGAUUUGUGCAAGACGGACUACUGCGAAAGCAUUUGCCAAGGAUGUUUUUAUUAAUCAAGAACGAAAGUUAGGGGAUCGAAGACGAUCAGAUACCGUCGUAGUCUUAACCAUAAACUAUGCCGACUAGAGAUUGGAGGGUGUUAACUUAUGACCCCUUCAGCAGCUUGAGAGAAAUCAAAGUCUUUGGGUUCCGGGGGGAGUAUGGUCGCAAGGCUGAAACUUAAAGGAAUUGACGGAAGGGCACCACCAGGAGUGGAGCCUGCGGCUUAAUUUGACUCAACACGG